ensembl:lncRNA
CCGCUCUCGCCCCGGGUCGGCCGCUGGGGCGCGCGCCUCGCCUAGCACCCCCAUCCCAGACUCUCUGCGCUCCGCCGAGUCUGCGGAUCUGCCGAAGCCGUGAGCCGGACCGCCGAGCGGUUCCGGGUGUAGGGUUCACAGGUCAGAGUUGACUCCUUGAAAAGUGCAGCCGGUUUGAAAUGCAAGAUGGCGGCGGCGGGGCGCUGAGAGGCGCGGCGGCCCCUGCAGGAGAUGGCAGAUAGGUACUUUGGACCUGGUGAUAAUGAUGGCCUGAGCUAAACACCUCCUAAUUUGAAGGGACACCCUUCUGGGUCAAAGAACAGAAUGCUGAGGAAGCUAUGGCAACUUCCCCAAACAUUGGAGGAGAACAAAUUCUUCAAUUCCAGAUGUCUGAUUUACUGUGAAUGGGCCCAGUCUUUGCUGACACUGAAAACGUUUUGGGGCAUACACAAUCUCAAAAAUAGCACCCAAUACCCAAAAGCAACGGAACUCAAUGUUGUGCCAAAGUUAAACUACUGCAGACGGCAGAAGUCCUGCAUUGUACAUAGAACACUAAUUAAAAAACAACUUGUAAAAAUUCAGAUUUUAAUACAGUACAUUUUUAUUCUGAUACGAUGGAGACAUUCUGAUUCUUAGACUUUCUGAGGGGGUUUAAUGACCACUAGAGCUUGUCCUCAUAUUUUGUUCAGCUUAAUACUGUAUGUCUCGUAAGAUGGGCCUUAUCGCCUGUUUUCUUUGAUAUGUGAUUAAGCUUAUAGCUUUGAGUGACCAAACAUUUUACAGACUAAAAAUUGUCAGAAACAGGAAAAAGAGAAAUCUGAUUUAUCUCUAUGUCUCAUUUAUCAGGCCCUGCACUAAGAUUAAGAGUCGUGCAUGGGUUUAUAGAAAAAACAGCCUAUUGACCUGCUGGAGCAAGAAGAUUUUGUGGUAUCAUUGGCGCUUAAAGAUUGCUCUUUCAUUGAACACAUUCAUAGAUACCACUCUUUCUGCUUGUAAUACUCUCUUACUUUUUUUCAUUAGAAACUGAAAAUUAGCUUUUAUUAAACUGAACAUAAUCAGUACUGAAGAAGGGAAAGAAACUGGCAUAAGCAUUUGGAUAGGGUGAAACCCUGAAAUAAAUAUUGUACCAAAAAUGUGAAAAAGAAUCAUAUAGUAAAUAUUAACAUAGUGUUUCCUUACAGUCGUAUGGAAAUCAGAAAUGUUUGUACAGGUGUCAGAUCAGAAUUUCCAAGAAUUCUCUUUUGGUGACGUUCUGCUUGGUAUAACAAUUUCAGUGAAUAAAGGAAAAAAAUUCUGAACUGAUCAUAAUGAGUUAAAACUUAGCUUUUCACUUAUGAAUGAUGGGUGUGUUAACUGUUAACUCUUGCCAUAUCAGGAGACUGAAAGUUCCUACUCAUAAACUUUGUAAAGACCGGUGCUGUUCACUCAUGUUGAGAAGGACCCUUUCUUUUGUGACUAUAGGACCAUUUUUCAAAAUGUGCUUUCUUCAUAGAACAAAUGUUCAGUUUCAUUAGCUUUGAAUUUUAAAAUGUUUUUCUGAAUGACAAGAUGUAGUGGGCUUGGCCAGUUUAUUUUAUCUAAUUUAAUGAAUAAUAAAUAUUAAGCUCUUGUUUUUACCUAAAUGUUUGUCGGCUAAUGAAAAUGUUAUGGAAAAGCCUUGACUAUGCAUGCUGCUUUCAUUUUUAUAAACUUUUUAUUUUUUAACUAUAGCUUUAUUAGUAAUUCCAAAAUGCUGCAAUUUAGCUGGUUUCUUCACUCAGACAGCUGGCUUUGUGGGUGGCUUUUUCAUACUACUGUUAACUUUUUUAAGAGAAGCAAUGUAAAGACUGUAACAAUUUAAUGCACUAAACUGUUCUUUCUUUUACACGUUUAAAAACUUCUUAAAGCACUCUGUAUUAUAAUGAUUAAAUUGCUCCCUUUUUUUAAACCAUUGCUAAUGUGGUCUGAGUUUUGUUUGACAGUAAUUUUAAUGUUUUCAAAAUUUGAAAUGUCAAGUAUUGGAAAUGAAACCUUUGAAUAUAUUUAUAUUAUGUUUCCCUUGCAAUAUGUUAACUUUGUUUAGCUGUAAAUAACUAUUAGUGAUUUUUCCCCUGUCUUUUUUAUAGACUUGGCACUUAAUUCUGCUCUGAUGUUUGCUAGCUUUUAAAUAUUUUUAUUUGACAGAGCAAAGAACCCUCCUCUCCUGGUUGAUUGUGUCCUUGAAUACAAAAUAAAA